rnacentral:rRNA from 1 species
GACGAACGCUGGCGGCGUGCUUAACACAUGCAAGUCGAAAGAAGUGGCGAACGGGUGAGUAACGAGUAAUCAACCUGCCCUUCAGAGGGGGACAACAGGUGGAAACGACUGCUAAUAACGCAUACUGAAGGAGGGGAUUGAGUGUGAAUAGCUAGUUGGAGGGGUAACGGCCCACCAAGGGGAUGAUCAGUAGCCUGUCUGAGAUGAUGAACGGCUACAGUGGGACUGAGACACGACCCAUACUCCUACGAGAGGCAGCAGUGGGGGAUCUUCCGCAAUGGACGAAAGUCUGACGGAGCAACGCCGCGUGAGUGAUGACGGCCUUCGGGUUGUAAAGCUCUGUUAAUCGGGACGCGGUACCGGAAUAGAAAGCCACGGCUAACUACGUGCCAGCCGCCGCGGUAAUAC